GGAGGGCUAGUCCUAACUGGUAAGGCAGCGGUCUUGAAAACCGCCGGGCGCAAGCCCAUCGGGGUUCGAAUCCCCGGCCCUCCG
rnacentral:tRNA from 2 species